GAGUAGCUCAGUUGGAUAGAGCGUCGGCUUCCGGAGCCGAAGGUCGAGGGUUCGAAUCCUUCCUC
rnacentral:tRNA from 1 species